GACGAACGCUGGCGGCGUGCUUAACACAUGCAAGUCGAACGGAAAGGCCUCUUUCGGGGGGUACUCGAGUGGCGAACGGGUGAGUAACACGUGAGUAACCUGCCCUUGACUUUGGGAUAACUUCAGGAAACUGGGGCUAAUACCGGAUAGGAGCUCCUGCUGCAUGGUGGGGGUUGGAAAGUUUCGGCGGUUGGGGAUGGACUCGCGGCUUAUCAGCUUGUUGGUGGGGUAGUGGCUUACCAAGGCUUUGACGGGUAGCCGGCCUGAGGGGGUGACCGGCCACAUUGGGACUGAGAUACGGCCCAGACUCCUACGGGAGGCAGCAGGGGGGAAUAUUGCACAAUGGGUGGAAGCCUGAUGCAGCAACGCCGUGGGCGGGAUGACGGCCUUCGGGUUGUAAACCGCUUUCGCUCAUGACGAAGCUUUGUGUGACGGUAGUGGGUAAAGAAGCACCGGCUAACUACGUG
rnacentral:rRNA from 1 species